GACGAACGCUGGCGGCGUGCCUAAUACAUGCCAGUAGAACGCUGAAGAGAGGAGCUUGCUCUUCUUGGAUGAGUUGCGAACGGGUGAGUAACGCGUAGGUAACCUGCCUUGUAGCGGGGGAUAACUAUUGGAAACGAUAGCUAAUACCGCAUAACAAUGGAUGACACAUGUCAUUUAUUUGAAAGGGGCAAUUGCUCCACUACAAGAUGGACCUGCGUUGUAUUAGCUAGUAGGUGAGGUAAUGGCUCACCUAGGCGACGAUACAUAGCCGACCUGAGAGGGUGAUCGGCCAAACUGGGACUGAGACACGGCCCAGACUCCUACGGGAGGCAGCAGUAGGGAAUCUUCGGCAAUGGGGGCAACCCUGACCGAGCAACGCCGCGUGAGUGAAGAAGGUUUUCGGAUCGUAAAGCUCUGUUGUAAGUCAAGAACGGGUGUGAGAGUGGAAAGUUCACACUGUGACGGUAGCUUACCAGAAAGGGACGGCUAACUACGUG
rnacentral:rRNA from 1 species